AAGUCGUAACAAGGUAACCGUAGGUGAACCUGCGGUUGGAUCAUUAACAAAAUGAUAAGAGUCUGGAUUUAUCCAGGCUUUUAUAAACACCUGUGAACUGUAAUUGUAUCUGGUGGAUUUGGUUUUUGGGCUUUGGCCUUGGACCACGUCCACCAUCAAUAAUUUGAACUCUUACAUCUUGAAUUAGUUUUUAAUUUAUUAUAAAUUUAAACAACUUUUGACAACGGAUCUCUAGGCUCUC
rnacentral:misc_RNA from 1 species